rnacentral:rRNA from 1 species
UGGGGAAUCUUGGACAAUGGGCGCAAGCCUGAUCCAGCCAUGCCGCGUGGGUGAAGAAGGCCUUCGGGUUGUAAAGCUCUUUUACCCGGGAAGAUAAUGACUGUACCGGGAGAAUAAGCCCCGGCUAACUCCGUGCCAGCAGCCGCGGUAAUACGGAGGGGGCUAGCGUUGUUCGGAAUUACUGGGCGUAAAGCGUACGUAGGCGGUUAUCCAAGUCAGAGGUGAAAGCCCGGGGCUCAACUCCGGAACUGCCUUUGAAACUAGGUAGCUAGAAUCACGGAGAGGUAAGUGGAAUUCCGAGUGUAGAGGUGAAAUUCGUAGAUAUUCGGAAGAACACCAGUGGCGAAGGCGGCUUACUGGACGUGUAUUGACGCUGAGGUACGAAAGCGUGGGGAGCAAACAGGAUUAGAUACCCCGGUAGUCCCUGAGCGGGCUGGCAAGGCGCAU